rnacentral:pre_miRNA from 1 species
AGUGGGAUAACUGGGUCAAAUGGUGGUUCCAUUCCAAGUUCUUAGGAAUCCCUAUACUGCUUUCCAGAGUGGUUGCACCAAUUUGCAUUUCCACCAGCAAU